rnacentral:misc_RNA from 1 species
AAAAUAGUCAAAUUACUUAACUAAGAUAGUACUAAUAGAAACAAAAAUGGAUGAAAUGUAAAGCGUUACCAAAAGAUCAAAGUCAAAAAGGCCUCUGCCCUCAAACUCAAUAAAAGGAUUUGACAGUUUAGCACCAUAAAAAAGAUGUAUAUAUAGUACUUAACUAACCAAAACACCAACCAAAAAUAGUUUUCUUCUAGAAGAG